AAUAUUGCACAAUGGGGGAAACCCUGAUGCAGCCAUGCCGCGUGUGUGAAGAAGGCCUUCGGGUUGUAAAGCACUUUCAGUAGGGAGGAAGGUAGUGUAGUUAACACCUGCACUAUUUGACGUUUACCUACAGAAGAAGCACCGGCUAACUCCGUGCCAGCAGCCGCGGUAAUACGGGAGGGUGCGAGCGUUAAUCGGAAUUACUGGGCGUAAAGCGCAUGCAGGCGGCCUGUUAAGUCAGAUGUGAAAGCCCGGGGCUUAACCUCGGAAUUGCAUUUGAAACUGGCAGGCUAGAGUCUUGUAGAGGGGGUAGGAAUUUCAGGUGUAGCGGUGAAAUGCGUAGAGAUCUGAAGGAAUACCAGUGGCGAAGGCGGCCCCCUGGACAAAGACUGACGCUCAGAUGCGAAAGCGUGGGGAGCAAACAGGAUUAGAUACCCUGGUAG
rnacentral:rRNA from 1 species